rnacentral:rRNA from 1 species
UGGGGAAUAUUGCGCAAUGGGCGAAAGCCUGACGCAGCAACGCCGCGUGAGGGAUGACGGCCUUCGGGUUGUAAACCUCUUUCAGCGCUGACGAAGCCUUCGGGUGACGGUAGGCGCAGAAGAAGCACCGGCUAACUACGUGCCAGCAGCCGCGGUAAUACGUAGGGUGCGAGCGUUGUCCGGAAUUAUUGGGCGUAAAGGGCUCGUAGGCGGUUUGUCACGUCUGCUGUGAAAGCCCGGGGCUUAACCCCGGGUCUGCAGUGGAUACGGGCAGGCUAGAGUCCGGCAGGGGAGACUGGAAUUCCUGGUGUAGCGGUGGAAUGCGCAGAUAUCAGGAGGAACACCGGUGGCGAAGGCGGGUCUCUGGGCCGGUACUGACGCUGAGGAGCGAAAGCGUGGGGAGCGAACAGG